rnacentral:rRNA from 1 species
ACGAACGCUGGCGGCGUGCCUAAUACAUGCACGUCGAGCGAAGUUUUUCUGGUGCUUGCACCGGAAAAACUUAGCGGCGAACGGGUGAGUAACACGUAAAGAACCUGCCUCAUAGACUGGGACAACUAUUGGAAACGAUAGCUAAUACCGGAUAAUAGCAUUAACUGCAUGGUUGAUGUUUAAAAGUUGGUUUUGCUAACACUAUGAGAUGGCUUUGCGGUGCAUUAGCUAGUUGGUGGGGUAAAGGCCUACCAAGGCGACGAUGCAUAGCCGACCUGAGAGGGUGAUCGGCCACACUGGGACUGAGACACGGCCCAGACUCCUACGGGAGGCAGCAGUAGGGAAUCUUCCGCAAUGGGCGAAAGCCUGACGGAGCAACGCCGCGUGAGUGAAGAAGGAUUUCGGUUCGUAAAGCUCUGUUGUUAGGGAAGAAUGAUUGUGUAGUAACUAUACACAGUAGAGACGGUACCUAACCAGAAAGCCACGGCUAACUACGUG